rnacentral:rRNA from 1 species
UAACGGCGAGUGAGCGGCAAAAGCUCAAAUUUGAAAUCCUGCGGGAAUUGUAAUUUGAAGGUUUCGUGGUCUGAGUCGGCCGCGCCCAAGUCCAUUGGAACAUGGCGCCUGGGAGGGUGAGAGCCCCGUAUGGCGCACGCCGACUCUUUGCACCGCGGCUCCGACAAGUCGAGUUGUUUGGGAAUGCAGCUCUAAGUGGGUGGUAAAUUCCAUCUAAAGCUAAAUAUUGGCGAGAGACCGAUAGCGAACAAGUACAGUGAUGGAAAGAUGAAAAGCACUUUGAAAAGAGAGUGAAACAGCACGUGAAAUUGUUGAAAGGGAAGGGCUUGCAAGCAGACACGGUUUUACCGGGCCAGCGUCGAAAAGGGGGGAGGAACAAGAACUCGAGAAUGUGGCGCGCACCUUCGGGCGCGCGUGUUAUAGCUCGUGUUGACGCCUCCAUCCCUUUUCGAGGCCUGCGAUUCUAGGACGCUGGCGUAAUGGUUGCAAGCC